UACAGAGGGGGCAAGCGUUAUUCGGAAUUAUUGGGCGUAAAGGGCGCGUAGGCGGCUUUGCAAGUGACGGGUGAAAUCCCUCGGCUUAACCGAGGAACUGCGUCUGAUACUGGAUGGCUUGAGUGUGGGAGAGGGAUGCGGAAUUCCAGGUGUAGCGGUGAAAUGCGUAGAUAUCUGGAGGAACACCGGUGGCGAAGGCGGCAUCCUGGACCAUUACUGACACUGAAUAGCGAAAGCCAGGGGAGCAAACGGG
rnacentral:rRNA from 1 species